rnacentral:rRNA from 1 species
UACGAAGGGUGCAAGCGUUACUCGGAAUUACUGGGCGUAAAGGGUGCGUAGGUGGUCGUUUAAGUCCGUUGUGAAAUCCCUGGGCUCAACCUGGGAAUGGCAGUGGAUACUGGACGGCUAGAAUGCGGUAGAGGGUAGUGGAAUUCCCGGUGUAGAGGUGAAAUUCGUAGAUAUCGGGAGGAACACCAGUGGCGAAGGCGGUCACCUGGACGAACACUGACGCUGAGACUCGAAAGCGUGGGUAGCAAACAGG